UGCUGUCAUCUCUGCUCUGCAGAAAACCUCCAUAGGCCACCUGAAGAACACGUGGGCGGAUGUUUCCCGGGAGAGCUCUGAAAAACUUAAGGAGCUCUAUAGCCAUGACAAGUCCUUGAGAAGAGAAUUGAUGACCAAGAUUAACAAGCAGAGGGAUCUGUUUGGUCCACGGGCGGGUGGGGUGCCAUUUGUGGGCACGAGGCCCUGGUCCUGGGACUCGGUGGUGUUGGCUGGGCUGUUCCAGGAGGAGUUGCCGAGCUGGCACCAUCAAUAGGAGGGGCCCUCCACGUUUGCCUCCCCGGAGAUCAUCCCCCAGAGAGUGCAGGAGAAGCAGCAGCAGCGGCAGGUGAGUGUGCCCGUGGGGGAGUGGCUCUGCCUUCCCAGCUGGAGGCCUCAAAUCAAGAGAGGAGGGCCCUUCCUCCUGGUGCCACAGUGCCUGAGUCCCCUAGUAGAAGUGACCAGGAGGGGGGCCUGGAAGAGCUGGUGCAGGAUGGGUUGUUGUGGGGAGGGCCAGGGACCGCAUACCCUGUGAUUUGCCAGAAGCCAGCCCUGGGAGGUGAGGAGGAGGAGUGUGGGUGUUCUUGCGGUGUGAAGGGAGGAAGAAUUGAGGGGAGGCUGCUAAGGGUCCUAGGCUGCUCCCCGUGGGAACCCUGGGGUAGGCCAGGAGGCUGAGGGUGAGGACUUUUCAGGGGAGGGUCUGCACGGGGACGACUUGAGAGCAAGGGCUCAUCUCACCCGAACCCCCAUGUGACAGGGUGUCGUCCCCUAUUUUGGCACUUUCCUCGGUGACCUGCUGAUGCUGCACCUGGCGAUGGGUGAUUAUCUCGAGGGGAAUGAGAUCAACCUUCAGAAAAGGACUGAGGAAUAUCGAGUCAUGAGGGAGAUCCUGCUGCUCCAGGUGGCCGCAAAGAAUUACAACCUAGAGCCCGAGGAGCGAUUUGGGGCCUGGUUCCAGGACAUGCAGCUGCUCAAUGAGAAUGAUAGCUACAGCCUGUCCUGCCAGCUAGGGCCCCAGGCCUAGUUGGCCAGCAGAAUACUCAAGGCCAAGAAGAACCGGCCAUCAUCAAGGUCAGCGGCGAAGAUUUGUGAUGCAGCUUUUAAGGCUACAUCUGGGCCUCCUUCCAUCAUGUCUAUGCUGCCUACACACUAGGCUCUCCAGCAUCCCUGCACGUACUUAUGUAAUGCUGUUUCAGGAGGAAAUGUCCUGGAGGCCCCAGCCUCUGUCAGGCCAUGAGAUGACCUGAAUGCAGAUAUAGUGGGAUUCAUCACCUCUGCAUCCUUCAGUCCUCGGUGGUGGUCCUAAUCUCUGCAGCCCCUCCAGGAAUGCGACACUCGGAUCAACUAGCUACCACCAUAGGUUUCUGUGAGUCAAAUGGAUUCUCAUUAUUGCCUUGACUCCACUAUCCAUUACAGAAACCAUAACCACCUUGUCUCUUGAGAUUCAGUGCCUCUGCUUGGUCUCUGCUGCCCCGGGAUCCAGGUGUCCUCACUGCAUAUCAAGAUCCCAGGUCACUGGCAGCAGUUCCACUGUAAUGUCUGCCCUAAAGAGGAGAGUGGCCACAGAGCUCUUCACGGACUCUGGGGCUGCCCUCAUGAAUUUAUUUCCACAGCAGUAGUGCAAGUGUGUCCUCUGGACCCUGUUGGGGUGGGUAGGCAUGUCUUACAUGAUAAAUACACUCUAACGUUCCAACCACCUAAGCCUUGGAUACCUUCUUCUAUAGGAGACCAAGGAAGGUCAGCCUCACUUAGUGUAUUCCCGGCAACCAAUGACACUGCUGGAACUCUUUGUGCCCUCUCAAGACACAGCAAAGAGUAGAGAAUCUCUGCUUAGUGGGCCCAUAUCAAUAAAUUAGACCGGAUCCAACUUUAUGUUCCUUCCGCCAUUAUCCAAACCCCUUAAUAGCCAUUUGCACACAGUUUUCCUAGAUUUGUUUCUGUAUACACUGGGGAAAGGAUGCAGCUAUUUUGGAACGUAGCACAACUCCUCAUGGGUCAUAUUUUACACUUCAGUCUCUGGGACAUGCUGGGAAUUGAGGCUACUAGGUCUAGUAGCAAAUGGGACUGGUGGGUGUAGGUCCUCAGGAGAAUCAGCAGUACUUGCAAGGCAGCUUCCCGGGGGAGACCAUUACCGAGUCCUUAGGAAAAGCAGAGUUCACCCCCUCACGCAGGGCUGGGAGGGCUUCUUCGUUGGCAAAGAAGACUGUACAAUCUUAUAAUCAUUUUUAUUCCCAUAGAGGUGGUAGUAAUAUCCAACUUUCAUUUCUGGUUAUAAUAAUUUUAUCCAUUUUCUUUUUUGCUGGUUAGUCUAGCUAAAAGUUUGCCAAUUUUAUUGCUUUUUUCCUAGAAAACACUUUUGAUUUGACUGAUUUUCCCUCUUGUUUUCCUGUUCUUUAUUUCACCUCUGCUCUUAUAUUUAUUAUAAGCCUCUUUUUGCUGGUUUCAGGGUUGGUUUACUCUUCGUUUUCUACUCUUCAAGGUGUAAAGUUAGGUUAUGGUUUUGAGAUCUUUCUUCUUCUAAUGUAGGCAUUUACAACUAUAAAUUUCCCAGUGAGCGUUUCUUUUUCUGCAUCCCAUGAGUUUGGUAGGUUGUAUUUUCAUUUUCAUUUUAUUCAAGGUGUUUUCUAGUGUCCCUCAUAUUUUCAACUUUCAUCCACUGGGUGUUAAUGCUGUAUUGUUUAAUUUUUAUGUAUUUAUGAUUUUUUCCAGUUUUCUUCCUGUUCUUGAUUUCUAAUUUCACUCCACUGUGAUUAGAAAUUAUAUUUUAUUUGAUUUCAAUGUUUUAAAAAUUUGCUAAGACUUGUUUGGGGGCCUAAAAUAUGGUCUCUCCUGGGGAAUGUUCCAUAUGCACUUGAGAAGAAUACAUAUUCUGCUGUUUUGGGUGGAAGGUUAAGUCUAAUUGAUUAUGGU